rnacentral:rRNA from 1 species
AUGGAGGGGUCGGAUCUCCGCUCUUUUCUACUCUGCUUCAAAGAGGAUCUUGGUAAAUUCAAACACUACAGAACAGAUUCUUCGUCGAAGAGGGCUCCGACAAGGGGACCCCCUAUCCCCUUACUCUUCGUGUUUGUCGUGGAUUGCCUAGGCAGAUUGAUGGACAAAGCCCAGCAGAAUAAUAUCUUCUCCCCUGGGCAGUCAAAGAAUCAAGCAUCAGCUUCUAUAUACGCCGACGAUGACGUCAUCAUAUUCCUGAAGCCUGAGCUGCAUGACUUUGAGGUGGUCACCAAGAUCCUAAAAUUAUUUGGAGAAGCUUCAGGGCUGACUACUAACCUGUCGAAGAGCAAGAUCGUGCCAAUUAGAUGUGAUGGAAUUGUUAGGUUGAUCUCUCUCCCGUUCGAGCCCAACGGGUCGAACGGGCCCCUGACUCGCGCCCUGAUCGGGGGCGCCCAAUCAAACCAUGGUUGGUGGGCCCCUGUGACCCGUGCUAUAUAA